AAAGGUAAAAUUGGAAUAUAGUUUAUAAUUAGUAAACUGAAGCAGAAGCUAAAUAAAUUUAGUAAAAAACUAGGAUUAGAUACCCUAUUAUUCUAAAUUAAAAUUUUUAUCGACCAGACUAGUAGGAGUGUUAUUUUCUUAAAAAUUAAAAAAUUUGGCAGUAGUUUAAUCUUUUUAGAGGAACCUGUUUUUUAAUCGAUACGCCACGAAGAAUCUUACUUGAGUUUGUAUACCAUCAUUAUCAGAUAAUUCUUAAAGGACAGAAUUAUUGAACUUAAUUUAUUUAGAAAAAUUAGAUCAUGGUGCAGCUUAUGAAUAAGUUAAAAUGGGUUACAAUAAAUUAAUUUAAAAUGGAUUAAUAUAAAGGAGGAUUUAAUUGUAUUGUAGAUAAAGAAUGUCUGCGAGAAAUAAGCUCUAAAUUAUGUACAUAUCGCCCGUCGCUUUC
rnacentral:rRNA from 1 species